rnacentral:rRNA from 1 species
GAACGCUGGCGGCGUGCUUAACACAUGCAAGUCGAACGGAAAGGCCUUGUGCUUGCUCAAGGUACUCGAGUGGCGAACGGGUGAGUAACACGUGGGUGAUCUGCCCUGCACUGUGGGAUAAGCCUGGGAAACUGGGUCUAAUACCAUAUAGGACCGCAUCUUGGAUGGUGUGGUGGAAAGCUUUUGCGGUGUGGGAUGAGCCUGCGGCCUAUCAGCUUGUUGGUGGGGUAAUGGCCUACCAAGGCGGCGACGGGUAUCCGGCCUGAGAGGGUGUACGGACACAUUGGGACUGAGAUACGGCCCAGACUCCUACGGGAGGCAGCAGUGGGGAAUAUUGCACAAUGGGCGCAAGCCUGAUGCAGCGACGCCGCGUGGGGGAUGAAGGCCUUCGGGUUGUAAACUCCUUUCGCUAUCGACGAAGCCACUUGUGGUGACGGUAGGUAGAUAAGAAGCACCGGCUAACUACGUGCCAGCAGCCGCGGUAAUACGUAGGGUGCAAGCGUUGUCCGGAAUUACUGGGCGUAAAGAGCUCGUAGGUGGUUUGUCGCGUCGUCUGUGAAAUCCCGGGGCUUAACUUCGGGCGUGCAGGCGAUACGGGCAUAACUUGAGUGCUGUAGGGGAGACUGGAAUUCCUGGUGUAGCGGUGAAAUGCGCAGAUAUCAGGAGGAACACCGAUGGCGAAGGCAGGUCUCUGGGCAGUUACUGACGCUGAGGAGCGAAAGCAUGGGUAGCGAACAGGAUUAGAUACCCUGGUAGUCCAUGCCGUAAACGGUGGGCGCUAGGUGUAGGGGGCUUCCACGUCUUCUGUGCCGUAGCUAACGCAUUAAGCGCCCCGCCUGGGGAGUACGGCCGCAAGGCUAAAACUCAAAGGAAUUGACGGGGGCCCGCACAAGCGGCGGAGCAUGUGGAUUAAUUCGAUGCAACGCG